AUACGAAACCAAAACUUUCAACAACGGAUCUCUUGGUUCUCGCAUCGAUGAAGAACGCAGCAAAGCGCGAUAGGUAAUGCGAAUUGCAGACGUGAGUCAUUGAAUCUUUGAACGCACAUUGCGCCAGUUUACUGGCAUACUGCGUUGAGCGUCGGCCUUCCUCCACAGGUAUUGCUGUUUCUAACAGUCAAAGGCAUGGAAAUGCACCCGUUAACCGACCGGUGUUUACCACAAAAAUUCGACCUCAGCGUAGUAAGAUCACCCGCUGAACUUAAGCAUAUCAAUAAGCGGAGGAAAAGAAACCAACAGGGAUUGCCCUAGUAAUGGCGAAUGAACAGGCAAAAGCUCAGAUUUGAAACCUUCGGGAUUGUAGUCUGGAGACCUAGAUUUGGAAGCCGACCAAGUCUUCUGGAAUGGAGCGCCAUGGAGGGUGACAGCCCCGUAGCGGCACCGC
rnacentral:rRNA from 1 species